AUUGGAAGGAGCAAUUUUUGUUUGUUUCUAGCUCCACGAUCGAGGAGUGAAACUUGCCAAGCUAGGAUCAGCCACAGGCUUCAGCAUUUAAGAUCCCAAAGCUAGGGGCCAAGGAAGAAGGUCGCUUCAAGGUCUUUAGAGACUUCGAGGCUCCCUUGAUCGAUGAAUUGAUAUUCAAUGAGAUACUUUUCAACACUGAACUUAGCUAGGCUGAUCCCAGGGGUGAGUGUUGUAUCUAUCCUUUUUACUGUCUCUAAGUUUAGUGCUACUGACUAAGGUUAGCUGAUUGCAGAAAUGAGGUCGGAAGAUAUUGUUAAGAUGAAGCAGAACCUUUCAAAGAAAAGGAAGACUCCCGCAGUCGAAGGUGCCUCCAA
rnacentral:lncRNA from 1 species